UAACAAUCUAUUCCUUAUUCAAUCCUUGUUCUAUAAAAUACCUUACCAGUUGGUAUCAAAGCCCUCGAUUGUCAUGGCAAUGGAAACCUGUUUGCAAGAGUGGAGAAAAGAGAUUGCAACCUUGGUUCUAGAGUUAGAGCAUCAUCAAGAAGCGAAAAUGGAGGCACGAUUACAAGAUAUGGUGAAGGAGUUGAAAUCCCUAAUUGCGGGUAUGGAAAUUUAGUCCAUUAAAGUAGUAGGUGGUAAGAAGAAUACUGAGAAUUCUCAAGCAAAGUAGGAUGGGGAGGUCAUUUCUUGGCCCAACAUAGCGACAACAAAAUUUGAGUUUCCUCGGUUUGAUGGUGAGGGUUUGGAAAGGUGGUUACUUUGGGCUAAGUAUUUCUUUGAGGUGGCUAAUGUGCUACAAGAAAGCAACGUAAAGAUUACAACUUUGCAUUUGGAGCUAAGAGCCAUCCAAUGACACCAAGGGUUUGUUAAAGUUAAGGGAGAAAAGGAAUAUGUGCAUUGAGAAAGUUAUGUUGAAGAUUUGGUUUCUAGGUUUGGAAGUCAUGCAUUUGGUGACCCAAUUGUAGCACUACGUAAUUUGAGACAACAAGAUUCCUUACAGGAGUAUCUCAAUGCCUUUGAUGAAUUGUAUCUAAAAGCAGGUAUAAUUGAGGAACAAGCCUUAUGUUUAUUUCUUUUAGGGCUUAGUGAUGAAUUACAAAUGCCCAUUAGAAUGUUUAAACCAAAAACCUUAUCUAAUGCUUAUUCUUUGGCUAGACUUCAAGAGUUAGCCAUAGCUGCUGUUUGACAAAAGCCAAGAACCUUGACUAAAUCCACAUCUGUUUGCUCCUCUUCCAGAAAUUCUACCUAUAAUAAACCCUUAACCUGACCACAUCAACUUAUCAAAAUAAACCAAUUAAAACCUUCAAAGAUCAACCAAACCCAAACAGUAACUGUACCUAUACACCCAGAUUACCUGCUAGAUUACCACUCACUUUGACAAGUAAAGCUAUUGAUGAAAAGAAAAAUGAAAACUUAUGUUUUUGGUGUGAUGAAAAAUUUGUGCAUAAGCAUAAUUGUAAGAAGAGACAAUUGUAUGUGUUGUAAUUGAAGGAAGUUAUUAAUGAAGAGGAAUUGGAAGCAAUGGUAGAGGAAACUGAUGAAGUUCCUGAAUUGCAAGGUAGUCACUUAUCUCUCCAUGUUAUAUGGGGGAUGGGAGGUAACCGAACUAUGAUGUUGAGAGGGCAAUAUGCAAAGAAGAGACUCAUUUUUUAAUUGACAUGGGCAGCAAACACAAUUUCUUGAAGGACCAACUAGUUCCUAAGCUUCAUUGUAAUAUAAGUAAAGUCUCUGGAGUUUGGGUUGAAGUAGCCAAUGGCCAAGACUUGAAAUGUGAAGCAGCAUGUAAAGGAUUCCAAUGGGCAAUGUAGAGACAAGAAUUUCAAACUGAUGUUUAUAUUUUACCACAUGAGAGCUAUGAUUUGAUUUUGGGCAACAUUAGGCAAUAUUUGUUGGAAUUUUGCUGAUUUAGUAAUGAGUUUUCAGUUGCAAGGGAAAGAUUGUCAUUUG
rnacentral:misc_RNA from 1 species